UACGUAUGGUGCAAGCGUUAUCCGGAUUUACUGGGCGUAAAGGGAGCGCAGGCGGCACGGCAAGCCUGAUGUGAAGGCCCGCGGCCCAACCGCGGGACUGCAUUGGGAACUACCGGGCUGGAGUGCCGGAGAGGUAGGCGGAAUUCCUAGUGUAGCGGUGAAAUGCGUAGAUAUUAGGAGGAACACCAGUGGCGAAGGCGGCCUACUGGACGGUGACUGACGCUGAGGCUCGAAAGCGUGGGGAGCAAACAGG
rnacentral:rRNA from 1 species